UACAGAGGUCUCAAGCGUUGUUCGGAUUCAUUGGGCGUAAAGGGUGCGUAGGUGGCGGGGUAAGUUGGAUGUGAAAUCUCGGAGCUCAACUCCGAAACUGCAUUCAAUACUGCCUUGCUGGAGUACUGGAGAGGAGAUUGGAAUUUACGGUGUAGCAGUGAAAUGCGUAGAUAUCGUAAGGAAGACCAGUGGCGAAGGCGGAUCUCUGGACAGUUACUGACACUGAGGCACGAAGGCCAGGGGAGCAAACGGG
rnacentral:rRNA from 2 species